rnacentral:rRNA from 1 species
GUUAUAGGGUCAAGCGAACAAGUGCAUGUGGUGGAUGCCUUGGCGAUCACAGGCGAUGAAGGACGCGGUAGCCUGCGAAAAGCUACGGGGAGCUGGCAAACGAGCUUUGAUCCGUAGAUGUCCGAAUGGGGAAACCCACUCCUUUUG